rnacentral:SRP_RNA from 1 species
GCUGGGUGCAAUAGCAACUUUCUGUAGUCUCAGCUACUCAGGAAGCUGAGAAGGAAGGACUACUUGAGCCAAGGGGUUCUGGACUGCAGUUUGUUGAUUGAUUGUCCUAAGUUCAGCAUCAAUAUGGUGAUAACCUAGGGAUGGGGGAAAAUCAAGUUUCUUAAGGAGGAGUGCUCUGGCCAAAGUUGGACAUUGAGCAGGUCAAGGUUCCUAUGAUGAUCAGUAGUGUGAUCAUGAUUGUGAAUAACCACUGUGCUCCAACCUGGGCAACAUAAUUAUCCCAUCUCUC